AAUAUUUUUCCUCCCCAAAUUAAAAGCCCUAGGCUCCUAACUAGUCUUCCUCAUCUCCUUGCGCCACUGCCGUCCGCCACCCCCACCUCUGUAACUGUUUCUUAUAACAAAGAUCAAAGCCCGGUUAAGUUGAAUUUAUGCGCCGGAGCUUACCGAACCGAGGUCUGUACUUGUAUUUCAUCUUAUGCGGAGAAUUAUUGAGUGAUAUUUGGCUUUAUAAUUGGUAAAUGGCAUGAAGGAAAACCUCUUGUUCUCAAUGUAGUGAGGAAGGCAGAUUAAAUGCUUGUGAAUGAUCAAUCUCGUGUGAAAGAAUAUCUUCCAAUUAUUGGAGUCGCAGAUUUUAACAAAUUGAGUGUCAAGCUCAUUUUUGGAGCUGACAUGUAAAGGGAACUGCAAUUUUAGUUUAAGUUGCGGGAUUUUAUUGAAUACAACAAUUCUUUGGAUUUUGUUGGGCCCUGAUGAAUUCUAAAAAGUAUUCUUUCGAAGAGGAAUUACGUAUGUGCUGUCAAGAUUCUAUAAGAUUUUAGUUAUAGAAACUAGAUUUUUCAAACAGAUGCAAUUAAAUUAAUUCUUCUGUCUAGUACUGAUGCAUACUGAAUGCAUAGAUGAAUUAAAGAAAAAGGUUGGAAUUUAAAUUACCCACUUUAAUAACAUGUCUUACAAAACUAUCCAUCCAUAUAAUAUAUUUUACAAAACUACCCAAAGCAAAAUUGAUGUUGAUAGGUUGCAUCGACAGCGCUAUUUGUGUUUUGAAAGAGAAGAGAGCGGAUGGCCUAGUAGAUGUCCUCUUGUAGCCACUGUUGACUUGGUGUUGAUGUUGCUGAUGAUGUGUUGUCAUAGAAUUUAGGGAGUUCUCGUGUGUUUGCGCUUUUGAGGGUGUAGGGUCAGCUGUUGCCCUUGAUCUUCAAAGCCUCUUUCACCGCUUCUGAGAGUGAGGCGAACAGUGGUACCUAGUUGUGAUUUAGUUCUAUCUUAGGGACCUUUGCUUUGGUGAAGUGGAUAUCCAAUGCAGUGGUUGAGUGAAUUUGUAGCGACGACGUCUUAUGCUCUGUUGUUACAAGAGAGUCGAAGACUGUAGCGAAAACUAUUUUUAUCCCGCGGCUUGUCAGUUGGUGAGUCGAAAAUACUCAUUGGAGAAUGGAGGAUCCCAUUCAAGCUCUGAAUCGGGUACUUUUUUCCUAGCUGCUCUCCUAAAACUUUUGUCACGGCGGCUAUAGCAUACAACCACUGUUGAACAAAUCCAGGGUGAAAGAGAAACAUGAAGUGGGGCUGUGGCGAAAGAUGGGCAACACGAAAGCAUCGUGCUUGCUUUCCUAUCUGAUGAGGGAUAAGAACCUCAUCAUCGCAGACACGUGAAAUAAUGAUUACUCGUACCCAUACUCAUGUAGAACAGAGUGCAUUGACAGCGCAGAUAUAUUAACUUGCGCAGCUAUAAUUGCCUGUAUAGUCAAAAGAUGACUAUAUAUUUAUGUCUGUGAUUACUAAUAUCAGACUUGCGCUGAUUAUGCAGGUAUAUGAGUCAUCUCCACGAACUAAAGUAUAAAGGAGCAGAUCCUGCGCGGCAUGAGUGGGAGCGCCGCCACGUCAAGGAUAAUUGGAGAAGCAAGCGGAGCCUUUAGAACCUGGCCUGACAGCGCAGUCACACUGAAAGAACCAACAUGACGAAUCUCACUGAAAGAAUAAUGCAUGCCUGCGCAGACAUUCAAGACUUCCGCCAGCGCAGUAUCAACUCGCUAUGCUUAGAUUAAAGAGCUGUAAGUUAGUUAGAAUAAUAUAGCCUAUUAGACAGUGAUCGCCGCCCUCAUCGGUACAUGCAGAGUACGUGAGAAAUGUCAAAAGACCUUCAUACCCUUUGCCCUUGUAAUCUCUAUAAAUACCCAUGUAUUCCUCUGUAAUGCUCUCUCUGGCAAUUAUAAUAGAAGCAGCCAUAUUUACUUUA